rnacentral:lncRNA from 1 species
AUCUCCUAAAAUUAUUUCGGGCCAUCAAAUACGACCUAAGAAACCAUAGUCACUGCCCCGCCAUGGCCAUUCCUCGUUGUUUUGCAUUUUCAGGACAAUAAACUAGAAUUCCGCCCUAUUCCAAUAUUUUCGUGUGCUCUAGCCCACGCCUUCCGAGUGGUCCCGGGUCCCCCGAAACCGGAUUGCCUAAAAAUUUCCAGGCCAUCAAAUACUACAUAAGGAACCAUAGUCACCGCCCCGCCAUGGCCGUUCCUCGUUGUUUUGCAUUUUACGGCCAAAAAACUAGAAUUCCUCACGAUUCCCAUAUAUUCGUGCGUUUCAGUCCAUGCCUUCCGAGUGGGUCCGGGCCCGCCGGACCCCGAUCGCCUAAAAAUUUUCCGCGCUAUCAAAUACUAACUAAGGAACCAUAGUCACCGCCCCACCAUGACCGUUCCUUGUAGUUUUGCUUUAUACGG